rnacentral:rRNA from 1 species
AACGAACGCUGGCGGCAGGCUUAACACAUGCAAGUCGAACGCAUCCUUCGGGGUGAGUGGCAGACGGGUGAGUAACGCGUGGGAACGUGCCCUUCAGUUCGGGAUAACCCAGGGAAACUUGGGCUAAUACCGGAUACGUGCGAGAGCAGAAAGAUUUAUCGCUGAAGGAUCGUCCCGCGUCUGAUUAGCUAGUUGGUGGGGUAAUGGCCCACCAAGGGGACGAUCAGUAGCUGGUCUGAGAGGAUGAACAGUCACAUUGGGACUGAGACACGGCCCAAACUCCUACGGGAGGCAGCAGUGGGGAAUAUUGGACAAUGGGGGCAAGCCUGAUCCAGCCAUGCCGCGUGAGUGAUGAAGGCCUUAGGGUUGUAAAGCUCUUUCGUCCGGGACGAUAAUGACGGUACCGGAAGAAGAAGCCCCGGCUAACUUCGUGCCAGCAGCCGCGGUAAAAC